ensembl:lncRNA
GUGACACUGAGACAGCUAACAUGACUAGUGGCUGCUGCUGGAUAUAUCAACAUCCCUAAUUUAGAAAUAGAGAUUUUGCCUGUUGAGCUGCAGACAUCUGCUGAUCUGGAAAUGUUCUUUCCCUUUGGUUUGUACGUGUGGGUUGCUCAGCUGCCUUUCACCAACAAGAAGACAGGAGGAAAAUUAAGCUGUGAACUGGAAUUCGACAAGGCUGUCUACUGUGAAGCCCCGUGGCUUUAGAAAAGGGGCAGUAGUGGUCAGAAAUGACACUCAUAAGCCUGAUCUUGCCAGGCCAGAGAAGUUCUGGAUGGGAGGGAAGGGGAUGCUGAGCUACCACUGAAGCUGCAGAGCAUGGCCUUGCUCAGCCUCUGUGCCUGCCCCACCACAGAAACUUCUGGGUUUGGUGUUUGGAAGAAGCAUAGAAGGCUCUCUUCUGGUCUGAAAACAGCAUGGAAAUAGAACAGACAUUUUGGGAUCCCUGCCCAGCACCCAGCCAGGCUGAUGAUGCCUUUUACCUCUCUGGGGCUGUAUUCUAUAAUUUAGAUUGUUUGGAUUGUCUUCUGGACCUACACAUCCAACAAAUAACAUGUAAUUCAUGGAAUUCCAGUUCCUGUGAAAGAGAGAAGAUGGUUUUACUUCACACAACCAUCAAAGGAAAUGAGGGAGAAUAUCUCUGCCUAGCAAUCAAAAGGCAGCCUUGGGACCAUGCAGACCUGUUGCCUGUGACACUUCAUGAAAGGAGCAAGAACAGAGACAGGGACAUGCCUAGGAAUGCACAUCCAGCUUCUCCUCAGAAAAAAAAUGCAUCUUUCCUUCUUCCUUUCCCGUCUUUACUGAACUUGCCAGAAAUGUGUUUACCAUGGAGGUGGAUUUGUGUCUUCUUUCAUGAGAAAGGCUAUCUCAUUCAGCUAACCUGCUGAGGAUCCAAAUACUUUUGGACACUCCUGACUUGUUUAAAGCAGUGACUGAAAUGGGCAGGUCUGCUGGUCCCCAUUUGGAUCCAUUCUGGUAUUAGAGAGAUGGUUUAAUUUGAAUUUCUGAGUAUUUGUGUACCAAACCAGGAACUCCACCCCUAGCUCUUUGGCAUAAGGCCCAACGACCAAGUCUUUAGGAUUUAUCUGGUUGGUGAUUGGGUAUGAAGACUUGUUUUGUUCCCUGUGUUUUUUCCUGGUUUGUUUGCGGCUUUUUUGGUAAUAUUUAUAUAUUACAAAAUAUUGUCUGACUGUAAGAGCUACUCAAGAGAGAAAGUUUAUAAGUCUUUUUUGAUGGGGUAAACCUGUUUUUUUGAGGCAUCAAUACAAAAGAUGGCAAAAAAAACCUUAGAACAGUAUAUGUUUAGAAUUCCUAAAUUCCCCUAGAUAAUGGUGGG